CUUGGACAAAGUCUCUCCCUUGUUUGCUGUGGGAUUAUCUAUAACACGGCUGGGGUGAGACCUCCAGGUUAUGUGCUAUUAAUCGCUGCUUGUUCCAGUGCAGAGGGAUUUUGCAUUUUGAAGCCAGGAGGCUAUUUAGAUUGGGAAGACUGGUUGCCUGGCAUCCCAGAAAGCAGAGGAACCUGAAAAGAAGGGCUCCCAUUAAGAAGACGUGGCAAUGGAAAGGAGAAGGAGGCUUAUGAAGAGCAAGGCAAAGACCCUGGCUGAAGGAAACCCCCUGGAGUUUGGGGAAGGUCCUGGAGACCUUCAGGCCCUUCCUGGAGGCAAGGGAUCAAUGCCAUCAGUCUCACUUGGGCUGCUGCUCCCCAUACAGCCUGAAAGAUACAUCAAAAAUGAGUCUACCAUCCCUUGUGCUCCUCCCUCUAUUUCAUCUGCAACCUUCUACCUCUGGAACCAUCUCCAACCUUCUACUUCUGCCCCCUAACAAGGGCA